rnacentral:rRNA from 1 species
AUUGACACUGAGGUUCGAAAGCGUGGGUAGCAAACAGGAUUAGAUACCCUGGUAGUCCACGCCGUAAACGAUGUCUACUAGUCGUUGGGUCCCUUGAGGACUUAGUGACGCAGCUAACGCAAUAAGUAGACCGCCUGGGGAGUACGGCCGCAAGGUUAAAACUCAAAUGGAUUGACGGGGGCCCGCACAGGCGGUGGAGCAUGUGGUUUAAUUCGAUGCAACGCGAAGAACCUUACCUGGUCUUGACAUAUCUAGAAUCCUGCAGAGAUGCGGGAGUGCCUUCGGGAAUUAGAAUACAGGUGCUGCAUGGCUGUCGUCAGCUCGUGUCGUGAGAUGUUGGGUUAAGUCCCGCAACGAGCGCAACCCUUGUCCUUAGUUACCAGCGGGUUAAGCCGGGAACUCUAAGGAUACUGCCAGUGACAAACUGGAGGAAGGCGGGGACGACGUCAAGUCAUCAUGGCCCUUACGACCAGGGCUACACACGUGCUACAAUGGUAGGUACAGAGGGCAGCUACACAGCGAUGUGAUGCGAAUCUCAAAAAGCCUAUCGUAGUCCAGAUUGGAGUCUGCAACUCGACUCCAUGAAGUAGGAAUCGCUAGUAAUCGCGGAUCAGAAUGCCGCGGUGAAUACGUUCCCGGGCCUUGUACACACCGCCCGUCACACCAUGGGAGUUGAUUGCACCAGAAGUGGAUAGCCUAACCGUAAGGAAGGCGUUCACCACGGUGUGGUUGAUGACUGGGGUGAAGUCGUAACAAGGUAACCGUA